ACGUAGAGUGCGAGCGUUAAUCGGAAUUACUGGGCGUAAAGCGUGCGCAGGCGGUUCGCUAAGACAGGUGUGAAAUCCCCGGGCUUAACCUGGGAAUGGCGCUUAUGACUGGCAGGCUGGAGUACGGGAGAGGGAGGUGGAAUUCCACGUGUAGCGGUGAAAUGCGUAGAGAUGAGGAGGAACACCAGUGGCGAAGGCAGCUUACUGGGCCGAUACUGACGCUCAUGCACGAAAGCGUGGGGAGCAAACAG
rnacentral:rRNA from 1 species